UAUUAGGUUGGUGCAAAAGUAAUUGAGGUUUUUGCCAUGGAAAAUAAUGGCAAAAACCUCAAUUACUUUUGCACCAACCCAAUA
rfam:Papio anubis isolate 1X1155 chromosome 20, whole genome shotgun sequence.